AAACGACUCUCGGCAACGGAUAUCUUGGCUCUCGCAUCGAUGAAGAACGCAGCAAAAUGUGAUACUUGGUGUGAAUUGCAGAAUCCCGUGAACCAUCGAGUUUUUGAACGCAAGUUGCGCCCGAAGCCAUUAUGCUGAGGGCACGUCUGCCUGGGCGUCACGC
rnacentral:rRNA from 1 species